UCAGCCUAUAGUGCUCUGACAUUUUGUCGAGCACGUGGUGUGCAUGCUCUGGGCAUGACAAGAGCACACAAUUUGCACGCGGAAGUACUGAGCCGCCGUGUCCCACUGAUUGCAUUUCCGCCGCUCGCCCUGGCCUGCUCGGGUCACCACGUCAUGCUAGAGUACCCCAACCUCCCCCCCAUCGUCCAUCGCACUGACCUGCCACGUCUACAACUUGCCAUUAGAGCCACCGCCGGAAUCUGCCCGUGGACGGAGCCGCCCUGGACAUGUAGCUUUCCCCGAGCCAGCCAGCCUGCCCUGCCAUCACUAAGGGAAGUCACCGUCCACCCGACCACCAUCGGCUUCGCGAGCACCGCACCUGUCCAUCACUGGCCACCGCCUAAAUUGCCGUGGCCGGCGCCGCCCAUUCGCCCCUAGACAACCAGACUACCCUGGAUUAAAUUCGGUCAGCCACCGGCCUCACAUAAUCCACCGUCCACACACCAGCCACCAUCGACCUCCCCAAGCACCUCGAAUCGACAUCAAUGGCGAUCGCCAUGGCAUCCACGUUUGGGAAACUGUGGAACCGAUGUCUUCGUCCUCUAAAAAGGCCACCCCGAGUACUCCCUAGCCACAUGGACCGCUCCUUCUCCCUCUAGACACCCUCUAAUGCAGCGUAUCGAGCCACGGGUGGUUAUCUUCCUCAUCUCUAGUGACCACCUGCGCUGCUACUCUUCUAUAAAAUCCGAAGCGUCCAAUGUCGCCCCACCUCGUUUUGCUGCUAACCAUCUCCCCGAGCCACUACAACCCCAUUCCAUUUGUCAAUUCCACUUAAACCUGACCAAGGACAAAAGCCCCUUUUUACCCAAUGCCGCCGUCUGUCGGAGAAGGCACCUCCGACCACUUCAUCCACUUCACCAGCCAUGGUGACCACCAGGCUCCCAUGGAUCCAUUCAUGGGCCCAGGGUCCCGUGGGGAACCGUUGUUCAAUGUCAGGGAUCACCGGAGCCCUGCCCUGUUCUGCCAAGAGGGACAAGGCGCGUGCGUGGACUAGUCAAACAUGACUGGUGGUCUGUGGGACCCACUGUCACCGACCCAGGAUGCACCAUGUCGAUUUGCAGGUACAACUAAAGAGAUACUUGACGGGAGCGUGUUGAUUGUUAAAUUGGAGUUUCUUCUUCUUCAUCAUCGACCUAGGAUGGUUCUAGGACGACAGCCUAGGAUAGCAAGGAUGGACGUCGUUAUUUUAUCAUUUGUUUUCGUCCGUAGUCGGACCCUGCUCUUCACCAUGAUGAUUUAUGUAUUAUACUCAUGUGACUAUGUAGCUUGUGGUGAGUGUUAGCCAAUUCCAUGUA